rnacentral:rRNA from 1 species
ACCGGCGCACGGGUGAGUAACGCGUAUCCAACCUACCCUUGUCCAUCGGAUAACCCGUCGAAAGGCGGCCUAACACGAUAUGCGGUUCACAGCAGGCAUCUAACGUGAACGAAAUGUGAAGGAGAAGGAUGGGGAUGCGUCUGAUUAGCUUGUUGGCGGGGUAACGGCCCACCAAGGCUACGAUCAGUAGGGGUUCUGAGAGGAAGGUCCCCCACAUUGGAACUGAGACACGGUCCAAACUCCUACGGGAGGCAGCAGUGAGGAAUAUUGGUCAAUGGACGAGAGUCUGAACCAGCCAAGUAGCGUGCAGGAUGACGGCCCUAUGGGUUGUAAACUGCUUUUAUAGGGGGAUAAAGUGUGGUACGUGUACCAUAUUGCAGGUACCCUAUGAAUAAGGACCGGCUAAUUCCGUGCCAGCAGCCGCGGUAAUACGGAAGGUCCAGGCGUUAUCCGGAUUUAUUGGGUUUAAAGGGAGCGUAGGCCGUUUGGUAAGCGUGUUGUGAAAUGUCGGGGCUCAACCUGGGCAUUGCAGCGCGAACUGCCAGACUUGAGUGCGCAGGAAGUAGGCGGAAUUCGUCGUGUAGCGGUGAAAUGCUUAGAUAUGACGAAGAACUCCGAUUGCGAAGGCAGCCUGCUGUAGCGCAACUGACGCUGAAGCUCGAAAGCGUGGGUAUCGAACAGGAUUAGAUACCCUGGUAGUCCACGCGGUAAACGAUGGAUGCUCGCUGUUUGCGUCUGACGUAAGCGGCCAAGCGAAAGCGUUAAGCAUCCCACCUGGGGAGUACGCCGGCAACGGUGAAACUCAAAGGAAUUGACGGGGGCCCGCACAAGCGGAGGAACAUGUGGUUUAAUUCGAUGAUACGCGAGGAACCUUACCCGGGCUUGAACUGUAGGCGAACGAUUCAGAGAUGAUGAGGCCCUUCGGGGCGCCUAUGGAGGUGCUGCAUGGUUGUCGUCAGCUCGU